rnacentral:rRNA from 1 species
AGUGAACGCUGGCGGUAGGCCUAACACAUGCAAGUCGAACGGCAGCACCGUAAGAGCUUGCUCUUACGGGUGGCGAGUGGCGGACGGGUGAGGAAUACAUCGGAAUCUACCUUUUCGUGGGGGCUAACGUAGGGAAACUUACGCUAAUACGGCAUACGACCUACGGGUGAAAGCAGGGGAUCUUCGGACCUUGCGCGAUUGCAUGAGCCGAUGUCGGAUUAGCUAGUUGGCGGGGUAAAGGCCCACCAAGGCGACGAUCCGUAGCUGGUCUGAGAGCAUGAUCAGCCACACUGGAACUGAGACACGGUCCAGACUCCUACGGGAGGCAGCAGUGGGGAAGGUUGGACGAUGGGCGGAAGCCUGAUCCAGCCAUACCGCGUGGGUGAAGAAGGCCUUCGGGUUGUAAAGCCCUUUUGUUGGGAAAGAAAAGCAGCAGGUUAAUACCCCGCUGUUCUGACGGUACUCAAAGAAUAAGCACCGGCUAACUUCGUG